rnacentral:rRNA from 1 species
AAACUUUACAAUGCGGGAAACCGCGAUAAGGGGACACUGAGUGCCAGCACCAUGUGUUGGCUGUCCGCAUGUAUAAAUCACAUGUGUCAGCAAGGGCCGGGCAAGACCGGUGCCAGCCGCCGCGGUAACACCGGCGGCCCGAGURRUGGCCAUUAUUAUUGGGUCUAAAGGGUCCGUAGCCGGUUUGAUCAGUCUUCCGGGAAAUCUGACAGCUCAACUGUUAGGCUUCUGGGGGAUACUGUCAGACUUGGAACCGGGAGAGGUAAGAGGUACUACAGGGGUAGGAGUGAAAUCUUGUAAUCCUUGUGGGACCACCAGUGGCGAAGGCGUCUUACCAGAACGGGUUCGACGGUGAGGGACGAAAGCUGGGGGCACGAACCGGAUUAGAUACCCGGGUAGUCCCAGCCGUAAACGAUGCUCGCUAGGUGUCUGGGAUGGUGCGACCGUUUCAGGUGCCGCAGGGAAGCCGUGAAGCGAGCCACCU